UGGGGAAUAUUGGACAAUGGGGGCAACCCUGAUCCAGCGAUGCCGCGUGAGUGAAGAAGGCCUUCGGGUCGUAAAGCUCUUUAGGCUGGGAAGAAGGUUGUGUGGGGAAAUACAUGCAAUUUGACUGUACCGGCAGAAUAAGCACCGGCAAACUCUGUGCCAGCAGCCGCGGUAAUACAGAGGGUGCGAGCGUUAAUCGGAGUUACUGGGCGUAAAGGGCGCGUAGGCGGUAAGAUGUGUGUGAUGUGAAAGCCCCGGGCUUAACCUGGGAAGUGCAUCGCAAACUAUCUAACUAGAGUAUAUGAGAGGGUGGCGGAAUUUCCGGUGUAGCGGUGAAAUGCGUAGAGAUCGGAAGGAACGUCAAUGGCGAAGGCAGCCACCUGGCAUAAUACUGACGCUGAGGCGCGAAAGCGUGGGGAGCGAACAG
rnacentral:rRNA from 1 species